ACGCUGGCGGCGUGCCUAAUACAUGCAAGUCGAGCGGACAGAUGGGAGCUUGCUCCCUGAUGUUAGCGGCGGACGGGUGAGUAACACGUGGGUAACCUGCCUGUAAGACUGGGAUAACUCCGGGAAACCGGGGCUAAUACCGGAUGGUUGUNUGAACCGCAUGGUUCAGACAUAAAAGGUGGCUUCGGCUACCACUUACAGAUGGACCCGCGGCGCAUUAGCUAGUUGGUGAGGUAACGGCUCACCAAGGCGACGAUGCGUAGCCGACCUGAGAGGGUGAUCGGCCACACUGGGACUGAGACACGGCCCAGACUCCUACGGGAGGCAGCAGUAGGGAAUCUUCCGCAAUGGACGAAAGUCUGACGGAGCAACGCCGCGUGAGUGAUGAAGGUUUUCGGAUCGUAAAGCUCUGUUGUUAGGGAAGAACAAGUGCCGUUCAAAUAGGGCGGCACCUUGACGGUACCUAACCAGAAAGCCACGGCUAACUACGUGCCAGCAGCCGCGGUAAUACGUAGGUGGCAAGCGUUGUCCGGAAUUAUUGGGCGUAAAGGGCUCGCAGGCGGUUUCUUAAGUCUGAUGUGAAAGCCCCCGGCUCAACCGGGGAGGGUCAUUGGAAACUGGGGAACUUGAGUGCAGAAGAGGAGAGUGGAAUUCCACGUGUAGCGGUGAAAUGCGUAGAGAUGUGGAGGAACACCAGUGGCGAAGGCGACUCUCUGGUCUGUAACUGACGCUGAGGAGCGAAAGCGUGGGGAGCGAACAGGAUUAGAUACCCUGGUAGUCCACGCCGUAAACGAUGAGUGCUAAGUGUUAGGGGGUUUCCGCCCCUUAGUGCUGCAGCUAACGCAUUAAGCACUCCGCCUGGGGAGUACGGUCGCAAGACUGAAACUCAAAGGAAUUGACGGGGGCCCGCACAAGCGGUGGAGCAUGUGGUUUAAUUCGAAGCAACGCGAAGAACCUUACCAGGUCUUGACAUCCUCUGACAAUCCUAGAGAUAGGACGUCCCCUUCGGGGGCAGAGUGACAGGUGGUGCAUGGUUGUCGUCAGCUCGUGUCGUGAGAUGUUGGGUUAAGUCCCGCAACGAGCGCAACCCUUGAUCUUAGUUGCCAGCAUUCAGUUGGGCACUCUAAGGUGACUGCCGGUGACAAACCGGAGGAAGGUGGGGAUGACGUCAAAUCAUCAUGCCCCUUAUGACCUGGGCUACACACGUGCUACAAUGGACAGAACAAAGGGCAGCGAAACCGCGAGGUUAAGCCAAUCCCACAAAUCUGUUCUCAGUU
rnacentral:rRNA from 1 species